rnacentral:rRNA from 1 species
ACGUAGGGAGCGAGCGUUGUCCGGAAUUACUGGGCGUAAAGGGCGCGUAGGCGGGUAAUUAAGUCAGAUGUGAAAGCCCCGGGCUUAACUCGGGGAGUGCAUUUGAAACUAAUUAUCUUGAGGGCAGGAGAGGAAAGUGGAAUUCCUAGUGUAGCGUUGGAAUGCGUAUAUAUUAGGAGGAACACCAGAGGCGAGGGCGACUGUCGGGACCGUACCUGCGGCUGAGGCGCUUUAGCAUUUGGAGCACACAG